CCUACGGGAGGCAGCAGUGAGGAAUAUUGGUCAAUGGACGAGAGUCUGAACCAGCCAAGUAGCGUGAAGGAUGACUGCCCUAUGGGUUGUAAACUUCUUUUAUAUGGGAAUAAAACGUUCCACGAGUGGGAUUUUGUAUGUACCAUAUGAAUAUGGAUCGGCUAACUGCGUGCCAGCAGCCGCGGUAAUACGGAGGAUCCGAGCGUUAUCCGGAUUUAUUGGGUUUAAAGGGAGCGUAGGUGGAUUGUUAAGUCAGUUGUGAAAGUUUGCGGCUCAACCGUAAAAUUGCAGUUGAAACUGGCAGUCUUGAGUACAGUAGAGGUGGGCGGAAUUCGUGGUGUAGCGGUGAAAUGCUUAGAUAUCACGAAGAACUCCGAUUGCGAAGGCAGUUCACUGGACUGCAACUGACACUGAGGCUCGAAAGUGUGGGUAUCAAACAGGAUUAGAUACCCCUGUAGUC
rnacentral:rRNA from 1 species